GAAGAUCAUAAAGUACCCCUUGAAUUUAUCCAAAUAUAUGGUUCAUUCAAUGGCAUAUAUUGGCCUACCUAUGAGUUAUAUCAUAAAAUUAUUGAACCUUUUCAACAGAAGUCUAUACCUCCAUGACAUAUGAAUGCAAUUUUGAAUAGUUCUAUGACACAAAAAAUUGAAACGGACUUAAUAAUCUCAAGGUCAAAUAAUUUCCAUUCAAGAGGUCUUCAGGAAAAUGGCAACAACAAAUACUGUGAAAUUUCUCCGCCGCUUUUCCGGUAUAUUGCAGAAGCAGCAGGCGUUACCCUUGCACAAACACAACUCAAAUCUACAGAAGAGGACAUUCUACUUGUAUUCACAGGAACCAUUUCACCCUAUCCCCGGGAAGGAGCCAGAGCACUGCAAAGCAGCAGAAGCAGUCAAAGUUGUCCAAUCAGGACAUCGAGUAUACAUCCAUGGAGUUGCAGCUACACCCAUUCCAUUGGUGGAAGCACUGGCCAAUCAUGGCAUAGAAUCAAAUCUCCGGGAUGUUGAGCUGUUACAUAUUCACACUGCAGGCCCAGGAACAUUUGCGCAGAAAGAAUAUGAAGGAAUAUUUAGAAGCAACUCUCUGUUUAUGGGGCCUAAUGUUCGUGAAGCCGUGAAUGCUGGGAGAGCUGAUGUCAUGCCUAUAUUUCUCAGUGAUAUUCCACAUUUGUUUCGCAGGAGAAUACUCAAUCUUGAUGUUGCUAUGGUUUCUGUAAGCCCCCCAGAUGAACAUGGGUAUUGUACGCUAGGACCCAGUGUGGAUUGUACAAGAGCUGCAGUGCAAAAUGCUAAAACCAUUGUGGGUAUGGUCAACAAGAAUAUGCCAAGGACAUUUGGGGAUGGAAUAAUUCACAAAUCACACUUUGACUACAUGGUAGAAGGGCACAUGCCCCUUCCUGAGCUGUCCAAACAUGAACUAGAUCUGCUCAUGGUUGAUCUCCCCCUGAGUGAUGAUUAUGUAAACCCUUCAGAAAGAGAGCAGAAAAUUGGCAAAAGUAUCGCAGAAAAUCUCGUAACUGAUGGAGCAACUUUACAAAUGGGUAUUGGCAAUAUCCCAAACAUAGUUUUAAAGCAUCUCCACAACCAUAAAGACCUAGGUGUCCACACUGAGAUGUUCAGUGAUGGAGUGAUUGACCUUGUGGAGAAUGGAAACAUCACAAAUGCAAAGAAAGUUAUACAACCUGGCAAGAUCGUAGGAGCAUUCUGUGUUGGCACUAGACGCUUGUAUGACUUCUUGGAUGACAACCCUUUUGUAGUAAUGGGAGAUGUGGCUCAUGUGUGUAACACAGCAGUAAUAGCACAGAAUCCACGAGUGACAGCCAUCAACUCUUGUAUUGAAGUGGACAUAACAGGCCAGGUCGUCUCUGACAGCAUUGGAAACAAAAUGCAUUCUGGUGUUGGAGGUCAGAUUGACUUCAUUAGAGGAGCAUCACAAGGUUUAGAUGGCUUGGGGAAACCUAUAUUGGCUAUGACUUCUACAACACGUCAUGGUCAGACAAAAAUAGUACCCGACAUUCACAAGGGUGCGGGAGUGGUGACCACGAGGGCACACGUUCACUAUAUUGUCACUGAAUACGGAAUCGCAAAUCUCUUUGGAAAAAAUAUCAGACAGAGGGCAUAUGAACUGAUACGUAUUGCUCACCCUGAUCAUCAAGAAGAGUUAGAAAAAGCAGCAUUUGAGAAACUUAAUAUCAUGCCAACUCCCUAAAUGCUAAAUUUAAUUGAAUGACAAUUUGGAUAAAUUAGGGUAAAACCUUCUGCCAUUGGCUGCCAUUAUAUUUUGAUAUUUUUACUUAUAGCUGCACAGUAUAUACUAAUAAAAGCAGUUAGGGGGCUUGUAGAUCCAUAAUUAGAUGGCGCUGGGUGAUGUGCUUACCAGCAACACUGGAUAAUUUAGCCUGUCUACACUGAUUUUAUGAUUUGCUGUAUAAAGCGCUGUUUCAAAUCACAUACACAUGUACAAUAAAACGAGUGUAUGGAAUUAUAACACUUCUCAAAUGAAGACCUUCUACACUUUCUGCUAUAAUAGCUUGAUGGUAGAUGUUUGCAUGACAUGACUAACUGUAUUCUGAAUAAGCCAGUUUCUAAAGUCGUUUACUAUAGGCUUUUUAGCCAAGCCUUAUGUUUUACAUAAUAGAAAGAAUAUCUGUUUAGAUAGAAAGCCUGUGUAUUAAGAUAGAAAGCCUGUGUAUUAAGAUAGAAAGCCUGUGUAUUUAGAUAGAAAGCACAUGUAUUUACACAGAAUGCCCAUAUAUUUAUUAGUACAUAGAAAGCCCAUAUAUAUACAUUAUUAAAUAUGGGCAUAUUCUAUUUCCUGAACCAGCUUAUAUGUUCUCUGUAUUAAGCCACAUUUUUGAGAGAUACCAUAGUAAUAUUAAAAUGGUUUUUACUAUUAUACACUUUAAAUAUGAUUAUACAUGUAUCUUAUAUUUGUUAAUUAGAAUAUUGGAAAACUUUUUCUGUUUGAUAUUAAUUGUGCCAUAUUUUUGAAAAUGCAAUUGCAAUGUCAGAUUUAAAUUCAUUGACUGAUUGUGCCAUACUUUAAAAAAAAUGCAUUCAUUGUAUUUAAAAUGAAUAAGUUCUUUCAAUAUGUUGUCUUCUAUCUCAUUUAUUUUCAUAGUUAGAUAAAUAACUAAGCACAAGAAAGACAACAAACUUCUAAGUAAACAAGUAAUGUCAGACUCAUAAACAGGCAUGGUGCAAUUUGGUAUAUGAAAAAAAGAUUUUAGAAUACUUUGGUGCUGCAAAAUUGGCCAAAAUUUCAUUUUGUACUGUGAAGACAAGUAAAUCAUGACUUUUACGUACAUAAUAUUCAGAUAUUAUAAAAGCUGUUUAAAAAGCUUUGUCUUUAACUUUUUAUGAUGGCAUGAUUUCAGUAUCACGUAACCUUAUAAUUUAAAGUGAAGCUAUUUGAUGCAAAAACCAAGUAUAUUUAUAAUUCUCAUGUUGAUUUAUAAAGGUUUCAUAUGGUUGUUAUGAUUCUAGAAGUUUGCAGGCUUUCUGAUAUUGCUGUUUUAUGCUUUGUUAAUUGUAAUUUGACCAAGUUGAUUACUUUUGGACAGCAAAAUAUAUUCUUAAUAUAACUAUGAAAAUUAAAUUAAAGCUCCAUAAAAUGGAACUUGCAAUGAAUCUCCAUAAAAUGGAACUUUGAGUUGUAUGAUGUACAUGUACAGUGCAUGUCUAUAUGUAUAGUAUGUGACGUGUACUUUAAUUAAUAUGUUUCAAAUUGUGUAAUACUAAAAUAUAUAAUUAUUUUGCAAAAAAUCAA
rnacentral:misc_RNA from 1 species